AGCCAUUAGAAGAUAUUUAUGGUUUAACCUGCCCAAUGUAGUAAUUAAUGGCCGCGGUACCUUGACCGUGCUAAGGUAGCGUAAUAAGUUGGCUUUUAAAUGGAGUCAGGUAUGAAUGGAUUAACUGGGGUUGGCUGUCUCUAAAAUAAUAUUUUGAAUUUACUGUUCAAGUGAAAAAGCUUGAUUAGGGUAAGGGGACGAGAAGACCCUUAAAAUUUUAUCUAAGGCGAUUUAGGUAAUUGUUGCGAUUUUGUUGGGGCGACAUUGAGAUAGUUAAAACUCUCUUUAAAAUUUUUUAAGCCGAAUUUUUUAAGAUAGAAUAAAUUACUUAAGGGAUAACAGCAUAAUUCUAAAAUUGAGUUUGUGACCUCGAUGUUGGACUAGGAAGCUAGCAGGUUAGAUGCUUGUUGGGGGGAUUCUGUUCGAAUUAUAACUCCU
rnacentral:rRNA from 1 species